rnacentral:rRNA from 1 species
CACCGCCCGUCACACCACGAAAGCUGUUUAUACCAGAAGUCGGUUGAGCUAACCCGCAAGGGAGGCAGGGCGCCUACGGUGUGAGUCGAUGAUUGGGGUG